GGGGGAGUCCCUUGGGAUGAACUGAAUGAGCAGCAGUGGGAGUUUGUCACCACUAUCAUGAGUAAUAGAGUUUACUUUGGGUUUUUUUGUUGUUUUGUUUUUUUUUAAAUAGAGCUUACUUUGGAGCUGCUGCUUUCUGCUUCUUGACCAGAGUAUCCUAUUCAACACAUCAGGCCAAACUUCAGGCAGCCAUCUUAACACCCGAUGCUUCUGGCCAACAAAUAGUCCCAACUGCACAUUUUCACAAAUUCUUGAGCCACUGACCCUUUGGGUAAAGGACUCUGGGAAAUUCUUGCUUCACAGAUACCCCAAGUAUAAAUCAGUAGUGGUGAACCUAUGGCACACACGCCCCAGCCAGCUGUUUGAUAUCAUUGAAGACUCUAAAAGGUACGCCAUCACUGCUAUAAAUCAAGACCACAGAUGUCUCUGUGUAUACUCAGGUCACAAAAGAUGCCUCAACAAGAUUAUCCUCAACCUAGCCUGAGUUUCAGGUGUUACUAAUAGUGACCAAGGCAUUGAUGGCCUUAAGCCUCAUACUACCUCUUCUUGUGCACAUAUCUGGACAGGUACUUAGGCCUGGGUGCUCCCCAUGGCUCAGGUGCAAUUCAUGCCAUGCAACUCCCUUGCUGUACUUAGAAGCCCUCACACUGACCCCACCUCCAGCCCAGCCUCCUGUCCUUGCUCUCUCAAGCCAUUUUGGACCUGUGCAAAGGCCUGUUGAACUCUUCCCCAGAGACCUCAACUAUGUCAGUAAACUUUCUGAUAGAAAGACCUGCAAAGGAAUUUUAAGCUUUUUAAUCAAACUACUACUAAUAAUAUUGGCCUUGUUACACUGACAUAUAAAAGUAAUGAAAUAAAUAAUUUCAUGGUAAAAUAAUGAGGAUCCAAGAUGUGUAAUAUAAGAAAAAAAAGAGACAGUAAUAACAACAAAUAACCAUCUAGCCCUAAAUUUGAAUUAGAAAUAUCAUUGCAAACUUAUAAUGUACUUUGAUAUUUUUUAAAUUACCAUGCUUCAGAGUAAACAAAUAAUUGAUUUGGGGAAGUUUGACUUUAUACAGUUAUUCCCAUAAAUCCUGAAGAAAUAACUAGUAACAGAAUGUCACCAUCUUACGUGUUAUGAUUUGAUCUGAAAUGUUCCCCCCAAAGUGGGAAGGUGGUUGGAUCAUGGAGGUGCUUUACUCACUGGUGGAUUCAUCAACUGGUGGCUGAAGUGGCUGAGCAUGCUGUUGGAAGGUGGAGCCUGGUCAGAAGAGAUGGGUCACUGGGGUCAUGACCUGGAAGGAUAUAUCUCCCUCCCCAGCUCCUCCUUUAUCUCUCUGCUUCCAGGUUGCCAUGAUAUGAGCAGCUUUUUUCUGCCCAGACCUUUCCAUCAUGCCAUUUCUGCAUUGCAGCCAGCUGACUAUGGACUGAAUCUUCUAAAACCAUGAACUUAAAACUCCUCCUUUAAGUUGUGGUGUCAGUUUGCAGGAAAUUCGAGGGACAGAAGGAUUCCAAGCAAACAGCAUAAUCACAAAUACGACAAACUUUACCAUAUGUAUGAAAUGAUUUCAAUAAAUAAAUUGCAAAGAAAGAAGUUUGGGGAGGGACAUUAUAGAUAAAAAUAUUUAAGAGACCUGUUGGACAAAUGCAUUGUUACGGUUUAUAUUUAGAUGACCCCCAAAGCCUCAUGCACUCAUAGGUGGGGGCUUUGGGGAGGUGAUUUGAUCAUGGGCGCGUGAUACUCACCAGUGGGUUAGUCUACUGGUGAGCUUAUGGGUAAAUGUGAUGUUGGGAGGUGGAGCAGGGUCGGAGGAGGUGGGUCACUGGAAGCAACAUGGCCUGGAAGGGUAUAUCUCCUGCCCUUCUCCUCCCUUCAAGCUCUGCUUCCCCACUGCCCUGCCAUCAGCAGCUUCUCCUGUGCCAUUGCCAUCUUGCCUUGGAGACACCUGACUAUGGACUGAAAUCUCUAAAAACUGUGAGCCAAAAAUAAACUCUUCCUCCUUUAAGUUUAAGUGUCAGGUGUUGGGUCUCAGUAAUAAGAAAGUGACUAAGACAUGUAUUGUGUGUACCUGGUUUGAACAUGGACUUACAUAAACCGGUACUAAAAAAAUAAUGUAUGAAGCCAGGCAUAUUGGACACAUCUGUAAUCUCAGCACUUUGGGAGGCUGAGGCAGGAGGAUUAUGAGUUCAAGUCCUACAUGUGAGAGUGUCUCAAUAUUUUAAAACAAAAAGGAGUGGAGAUGUAGUUCAGUGUGAAGGCCCUGGAUUCAAACACUAAUACCAAUUUUAAAAAUGAGACAAAUAGAAGAAUCUGAACUGGCUAUUUGAUGGCAACAAAGAGUUUAGUGAAUAUUCAUGUGGGAUGAUAGUUUUGUAAUUAAAUUUCUAGUAGAAAUGGUGAUUAUAAUCGUAUAUUUCAAAAUUAUUUAAAGAGUAAAUGUUAAAUGUCCUCAUCACAUAAGAUUUAUAAGUCUGUGAGGUGAUGUGUUAAUUAGCUUACUUUAAUCAUUCUACAAUGUAAAUAUGUAUCAAAACAUCAUAUCAUAUCCCAAAAUACAUAUUUGUCAAUUAAAAAUAAGAUCUUUCUGCUGGGUGUAGUGAUGCACACCUGUAAUCCCAGCACUUGGGAGGCUGAGGCCAGAGGAUUGCUGUAAGUUCAAGGCCAGCCUGGGCUACAUAGAGAGUUCAAGGCCAACCUGCACUACAAAAUAAGACCCUGUCUCAAAAAAAUCUUUCUAAAAAUGACUCUUGACUAGGAUGGAGGGAAAUAGGUGAAAAGAAAUCAGUGUAUAAUUGAAAUUGCUUGAUAGGCAAUCAGGGUUCAUUAUAAUAUGUUCUCUAUCUCCAUGUAUCUCUGAAACUCGUCCAUACGAGAAAGCUAAAUGAGAAAAGUAGGAAGGAGUAGGUCCUGGCUCAGUCCUUUCAUUUUUCUUUCCAUCCCGCACCUGAUGCUCCCGGAGUCAUUUUGUUUAUAUUUAUUGUUUUUCCACCAAGAUAUGAGCUCAAGAGGAAGGGAUGUAGCUGUUUUGCCACUGCUCUAUCUCCAGUGUCUGUGUGUUGAGUGCAUAAAGAAAGCCAGAGACUGACAACAGCACUUCCACCCCAAGUGAAUAAAGACAGCCACCAUCCAGGACAAUUCAUGUGAUCAUGUACAAUUAAACAAGCCCACCAUCCACCUCUUGGAGAACCACUCAAGGGGUUAUGGAGGCUUCCACCUAGAUUUCAAAAGAAGGCCUGGGAGGCCAGGCUAAAACAUGUGACAGGUCACAGUCCUUGUCAGGGGCCCAAAAGGGCAAUUCAUGAAGCUGUUAGAGUGAAGCUGAAGGGGCAUUGGAGAGCCCAGGAAGUUGAUGUCAAAAAUGUGGAGGAUCUUCUGAGAAAAUCUGCAGGUUGUGAGGAUAGCCAGCCCAAGAGUGAGGCCAGGUAGGCUGCAACCAGCAAGGUCAUCAGAAGGAGCCAUCCAAAUGCUUCGGAAAUCACAUGUCCCCACAGCUUGCCCAAGUUCUGGACAUGGAGCUAUGAGAUUUAAUGUUUGCCCUACAGGGUUUCAGUCUUGCUUUGGUUUGCUUUCUUUCUCUUCUCCCAUUCCUCCCUUUUUAAAUGAGAAUGUUUACCCUGUGCCAUUGUAUGUUGGAAAUUUUUAACUUUCUCCUUUUUUUACAGGAGCUUACAGCUAAGAGUUUGCCUUGAAUCUCAGAGGAGACUGGACUUGUCAACAGUGCUGACUUUGACAAUCCUUAGAGAUGGACUAAAUGAAUUUUUGCAUAAUGAGAUGGACAUUACCCUUUUGGGGGCCAGGGUCCAGAAAGCUAUGGUUUAGAUCUAAAAAGUCCCCCCAACAUCUCAGGUACUCAGGUGUAAGGCUUUUGGAAGGUGAUUGCUCAGUCAUAGGGGCACUACAUUUAUCAGUGGACUAAUGCAUCGAUGAGCUCAUGACUGAAUUUGCUGUUAGGAGGGGAGCCUGGUUGGAGGUAGGUCACUGGGGGCAAGACCUGGAAAGGUAUAUUAUUGUCCCCAGCUCUUUCCUUCUGUCUCUGCUUCCUGGCAGCCACAGAUUGAGCAGCUUUCCUCUGCCAUUCCUUUCCACCAUGCUGUCUCUGCCUUGGAGCCAGCCAACCAUGAACUGAACCCACUAGAAAUUGUGAAAUAAAACUUUCCCCUUUAACGUCUAUCCAGGUGUCAGGUAUUUUUGUCCCAGUGAUAUGAAAGCGACUAAUACACCCACACACCACAUCCACAAAUGUAAAAGAAGAGGAGAGGCUUAGCAACUAUUUAAAACACAAACUUGGUGGUGUAUCCCAGGACUUGGAAUCCCAGCACUUGGGAAGCUGAGGGAUGAAGAAUGCUGUGAGUCUGGGGCCAGCCUGGGCUACAGAGUGAGUUCAAGUCCAGCCUGAACUACAUAGCAAGACCUUGUCUCAAAAAAACCAAAAACAACCAAAGCAAGAUCCUGUUUCAAAAAAAUAAUAAUAAUAAUAAAACACCCUCUUGGGGAACUGUGGGCUAGAAUGUGGCUAUUGGUGGCCUAAUGAAUAUUAAUUUUCCAUUACUUCACAAAUAGAAUCUCAGUUUUGCACAGCAUGGUACUUUACACGUGUAGUUGGAAAACAACAUUUUCCCAGGUCCCCUUGGAACUAGAGCUGGUCCUCUAAAACACUUUAGGCCAACAUAAUGUAAAAAAGUCACAAAGCCUACUUCUGAAAAAGUUUCUUAACAUGUGGUUGAUUGAGCAAAUCUUCCCCCAUUCUACCUGGAAUGUGGAUGUGAUUCUGUCAAUGGGGCAUUCUUCUUGCAAUCAGGAAGCAUCAUCAUCAUCAUCGUCAUCAUUAUCAUCAUAUAAAGGGGGACUCUAGAAACCUGGUAGCAUUAGAGGACCCUAGAUAGCCAACUUCUGGACUUCCUUGUUCUGAGGGGAGGGACUAUAUUAGGUUACGGCACAGUAAUAAAGUUUCUGUUGCACUGAAGUUGAUGCCAAUUCUGACAGUAAUAUGUUACUGUAAUAGUUUGUUUGGUUUUGUGUGGGGUUUUUUUUGGUACUGGGGAUCGAACUCAGGUCCUUGCGCUUGCGCAGCAGAUGGUGAAACCACUGAGCUAAAUCCCCAGCCCUGUUACUGUAAUAGUUAAACUGGUAAAAAGAACAGUGUGAGCACAACCUUAGAAAGGUUAGCAGUCUAACAAUGCACCAAAUUGCAGACGUACCCCUUAGAGCCCAGACUUUGGCCACCAUUCUCUUGUUCAGCCAGUCAGCAAAUCUGAAGGGGCUGAGUCCAUAGCUACACCACAGAAAAACAUGGGACCCCUAAAACACUCUGUCAUCAAAAACUGAGGUAGGUUGAAAGAUGGUAGGGACUGUGCUAAGAGGCAAGAGUAACCAAUGUUACAGGCUCUAAUUCAGUGUGACUAUUCAGGCAUUUAAUAAUUAUAAUACCAUGAACCAAGAGACUCAUGUAAAG
rnacentral:lncRNA from 1 species